UACAGAGGUCUCAAGCGUUGUUCGGAUUCAUUGGGCGUAAAGGGUGCGUAGGUGGCGCCGUAAGUCAGGUGUGAAAUUUCGGAGCUUAACUCCGAAACUGCAUUUGAUACUGCGGUGCUUGAGGACUGGAGAGGAGACUGGAAUUUGCGGUGUAGCAGUGAAAUGCGUAGAUAUCAGGAAGAACACCCGUGGCGAAGGCGGCUCUCUGGGCUGGAACUGACGCUGAGGAGCGAAAGCGUGGGUAGCAAACAGG
rnacentral:rRNA from 1 species